GCUCCCGCAGGGGGUCCCGGAGCCCAGGUCCUGCGGGCUGUGAGCAUGGCACGGGGGGGCCCAGCACUGCGACACCGCGGCGCCUGCGGGGAAAGGCGAGGAAAUCCAGCUCAGGCUGCCCGCGGCUCCGGCCGCAGGUCCGAGGUCCCCGGGAGGUGCCCGGUGCCGGUGCUGCCCCCGCCGCCAGCCCCCAGCGGUGCCCCGAGGACUUGGAUUUGAAGGGGGAAAAAUCCGGCUUCUGACCCCUGGGUGUAAGGAAAGAGGCGUGAUGUGCCCCGAGACCCCUCGGCAGGCUCAGCUGUCAGCAAGUGAAUAAAAAGUUCUGCUUUAAGUGUCUUUA